CAAGAAGAAAAACAAAGGUUAGAUAGAAUUAAGCAAAAGAGGCGUCACUAAGCUUAGUUUUCGUUGUCCAGCGGGGAAUUUAAGACUGUUUAUGUUUUGGUGGGGGUAAAAAGUGUAGAGAGAGAGGAG